UAAUGCAAAGGCGUUGAGUUGAUUUCUGCAGCCAGUUUUACUGUGAUGAGUACUGACCAAAGCUCUCUCUGUUCACCAUCACCCAUCCUCCUGCCCCCUGGCCCUGAAGAAGAAGGUCUGUAUGUGGCUGGGGAACUGCAGUGGGGGGGGUCAAUACCUGCCUGAAUGCUCUGUGGGUGUGGCUUUGUUCUCUGCCUGGUUUCUCCAAAUGGUUUUUGCAAAUGAGUGUCAUACGCAGCUCUUCCUGGGGGUGGGGCAGUGGUGGGGCUGUGGCAGAGAGAGUGUGAGAUGGAGGCAGAGCUUAGAGCUGAGCUACUCUUGGUGCCAGUGUUUUAUUUAGGGUAUUUACAUUUUAUUGCAGCAAGAUGGCGGAUAGAACAUUCUGUUGUCAUCAUGGAAAUAAUUACCGUGUUCUCCCUGAGCUCUGGGAGAGGGUGAGGCAUCCGGAGGUGGGUCUCAAUCCUGUUAACGUUGCGCCCUGGAAAUCCUGAAAGAGAAAGACUGUAUGAGGAGAAACUAGUGUUCAUUACCUAGGGCUGAGCGAUAUACUGCAACGAUGAUUAUUGAAUGGUCAUCACCACCAUGUGGCACUGUUAGGCAUACAUUUAAAACUGCCUGUCAUGAGAAGACUGGGGGUCUGGGGGCUGCUGAGACCCCCAUCCUGGGCCACAUCCUGAUGGGGGAACCAGGGGGCAAAGCCCCCCGGAAGCUCUAUCAUUUGCAUCGUGUUUAGAGGUAAAAGGUGGCUUUACUAGUAACACUUUCCCUUAAAUUGGAGUAUAUAUUUAUGUAUUCGGACUUGUAUGCAUUAAAGUUGAAAAGUAUAAUGCAAAUAACUUUUUUGAAAAUAAAAGCAUGCAGUUUUAUUUCACUGUGACUUUUCAGUUAUCUGUUUCAAAUACUACAGAUUCACUAUUGACUAAAAUGCAAAACAUAUUAUGGUUUGGGAAAAUAUUAAAUAUUAUUUUGAAAGUGAGAGCAAUUUUUCCCACGGCGCACAGGCAGGACUGCCGCCGUGGGCUAUGCAUAACAAAUUGUGGCCACUCACUCACUCACUCAUGGACGACCUUUGAGGGACGUUUUGUGGGAUGCAUGUGCAGGUGGUGCUUCCUUUAGUAGGACGCAUGCGCAGGCGGUACAGCACGACAUUUUUAAGCACAGCUUUAUUGCCUAACGUUACUUUAGCUAACCCUAACAUGUUUGCAUUUCGCCUACUUUAGCUAAUCUAGUUAGCGCGUACGGACGCUGUCCUGCACGCAUGAGUAGGAGCUAAGGACACACAGCUACAACCACCGAUACAGAUGUAUGGGCACACGGAGGACAACAAAUAAAGUUACAGAUGUGAGGACAUGCCAUAGCUAGCUAGCUAUAUAGUUAGUACAGGUGUGCCGUGGGUCUGGACGGUUUCGUGCUUGUUUUAGAAAAUACACUACUGAAUCAUGACUAGUAUGUUUUUGGAAAAUUGACUGGCUAGCUUUUAAAAUAAUAUCAAAGUAGUAGUGACUACUGUAAUCUAAAACACAAUGGUGUAAGUUGACUAGCUACUACAAUUACGCUUAGAGAAUAGCAUCUAAAACAUUGUACAGUUUGUACUGUAAUUCUUUCUGAUUUAAACUGAAGUACAAAAACAAAUAAUUAUUGAACAACAAGAGAGAGAGAUAUUCUAGGGGGUUUGGGGGCAUGGUGCAAAGCACCAUGGGGUAAAAUGUGUAAGCAAUUGAAGACCUGUCCAUUAUAAUUUUAAAAAAUUAACAGCCAGAUCUGGAAUUAUAAUACUUUAAGGACUGCCCAAAAGUAUUUUCUUUUGCCAUUCAUUAUGCUUGAUAUAACUAAGUAGUUAAUGUUGGCCAACUAAUUUCAGCUUACUUAAUAUAAAAAUAGAAAUAAAUAAAAUUAAACAUGAAAUCAUAAUUUGAUGUCAUAAUCAUGAGUAAUUAUGUUUGCUCAGACAAAAUAAUUAGACCUAGGUUCAUGUGAAAUCAUAAGUCAUGGAGACCCUGAACUGUCUUGGGGGGUCCGGGGGGCAUAAAAUCCCAAAAGAUUUUGUACAUUUUAACAUUUAAAUGAAUCUGGUGCACUUUGAGAAGAAGCUAGAUUUAUAAUAAACCCAUGCAGUUGUAUCAUUUUUAAGAUGCUUGAGCCUACACUUGAUCUAUCAAAGAAAUUAAAUAUAUCAGUACAACACAAGAGCUUUUACUUGGAGUGUUUGGAAUCACACUAAUUUUGCAGUAAAAAAUGGCACCGCAUGCUACGUCAGAUUUAGACCUUUCACAGUUGGUAUAUAGCUUUUCCAACUUAAUGCUGGAAAUGAUGUAGCCUACUAGUACAGCAUACAGUGUAGCUAUCAUUGGUCGUUUUAAAUUUAUAGAACAUUUUAACCACUCCGUUUAGUUAAUAUUCAUGUAAAUGUAGUAACCUUUGAGGACAGGCUACUGGAUGAACCACUAAUUACUCAUAUCAUAGUGCAAAUAUCCACAGUAUUACUCCCACACAUAAUCAACAUAACAUUUGACUUCACAGUCAGAUGCAGAUAGCUUUGCUAACUUCAUGCUGGAAAUAAUGUUUUAAACCAGUGUAACCACAUUCACAUUAGUCUAGCCAGCAAAUGGAUAAUUAAACCAUUGUCACCAUAUUCAUAUCAGUGUAGCUAGCAAAUAGAUAAUAAACUGAAUGUUAUCUUCACAGAAUGUGUUCUGGACCGAUGGUUUGGAGAUGCAGGACCUGAGCACUCUAAAGUAAAGAGACUACCAGGCUACUGCAUGUAGCAUGCAUGCUGCCAAUGGGAAAAUCCCAGAUACAGUAACAUUUUUCUAUAGACACAUUUCCACCGCAGGAACUUUCCCCAGGAACUAGGAACCUUUUGAGGAACUCAGUGUGUUUCCACCGCAGGAACCAGGGUCUAAAUUAAGUUCCGGGACUUUAUUUUACCCCCAAAAAAGUCCCUGCUCAGGGGGGGUAGUACUUUCCAAAAGUACCGGAACUUUUGGGGUGGGGCUCAAAUGCGAACAUUUCUGAUUGGUCGAGUACUCGCAGCAUUUUAUUUCAACCGCCAUUUUUAAAAAUCUGCAGCCGCAAAUCCGAUUUAUUUUCAAAAUAACGUGAAUUCAAACUUUUGUUAUGCGGCGCAGUACCCUACUUUUCGUUAUAGCCUGCCAACGUCUACAGAUGAGAAAUUAAGAUUGAGGAUUAUAACACGUGUGCUCUUCUUUUCUUGCUUUAGUCUGUUUUAUAAAAUAUUAAGCAUUCAUGCUGGGACAGCAUAUUACGAUUUAAUUCGGUUGCUGAAUAUUUUCAUCCGGAUUUUCUUUGUUAGCCCGUUAUAAUUGACUCAAAACGCUUGACACAGUUACGUGAGGUAUGUGUUAGUUCUGCGUAAUUUACAUCGAGGAUACAGUAAAAGCAAACAGGAAAAAACAACACCUUUUGCACUUUUUGUCAGGGUAAAAUAACAGGUUAAUUCUAGUAAUCGUCCCUUUUGCUUUUUCAAACUGCCAUAAUUUUACCCUGAGAUUCUUCAAUUCCACAAAAAGACCAGGAAGACUAGACAUGGACUUAUUGUGCAUGGUUCACAUCUGGAGGGCACACUUCAAGUAUUUAGCUGCUCCGCUAGCAGUAACUUUAAAAGAUGAAGGCAAACGGUGGCUGUACCACUGCAAUAUUAAUUAAAAUUUUCACGCAAGUCUGAGUUUUCAUUCUAUUUAUUCUUGUCAUUUUGCGAUUAUAUGGAAAUGACGCUGAGAGUCGAAUUAAGCAAUUCAACAGCAAAUUGUUUGCGACGUGUGCAUGUUUUCUGCUAUUGUGGAAUGUGAAUGCAUUCUGUCGCCUCGGAUGUCAAGACAUGAAAGUGAAUGUUCGCAUAAAAACAUAACGAAUGUGUUUGAGAGGAUAUAUAAAACAGUUUCAAUUUGUAUAUUGGCCUGUUGUAUCCUGUUUGUUGCAUAACAACGGUCCAAGUCGAACUACCAACGAGAGUUUUGCUUGUCAAUAAUAUGCCCAAAUGGCUGUGGAAGAAUAUUUCAAUUUUAGGUGAUUAAGUCGAUAAAAAUCAAUAAAUACUAAAGUAACCAUACUGUCAAUGUUGGUAACCCGUUGUAUAAAUGGAAUACACCCCUCCGGGCUGUCCCGUUAUUGGAAAAUAAUGUACUUCGGUGGCAGUAUGGAGUUAGGCUACAGAAGAAAUAAUACGACAGAUGGACUGACGACGACGUCGCUUUUUCAUUCGUCAGCGGACUAAUUUGCCUAAUCUUUGCGGGUCUUUAGACUGCGGUGUUAACGCAGACAACAAUGGGCUGAAGGAACCUUUUAGUUCCUUGAAAAGUAGUUCCUGGGACUAAAAGUUCUGGGUACUUUGGGUGGAAACGCAGCUUAUGUAACCCCCCUCUCCCUUUCAGCUGCCGAUAAGACAUCGAGCAUUAGUGCAGCUGCUUUGUUCAGGAAAGAACCUUCCCUUCUGUGGAAUCAAUGCGUUUUGUUUUACACAAUUGUAUAGGGCUUUUCCAAUUUCAAUUAACAAGCCCCGUCAACGACAAAAUUUGAACCCUGCCUACUGUUUGUCAUAACACCAUGAGCGCAUACAGUUGAGGCAAAAAUUUUACAUACACCUAGGCUAAAGACUCUGCACAUUUCAUGUUACCAUAGAUUUCCUGUGGUAAGUCAAUUAGGGUAUCUACUUUAUUUCCAUAAGAGGUCAUUUCAAAAUAACAGCUAAGGGACAGAUUUAUUUCAGCUUUUAUGUACUAUAUCAGAUUUUCAGUGGGACAAAAGUUUACAUACACGUCUUAGUAUUUGGUGGCAUUGCCUUUUAAUCACUUAACUUGAAUCAAACGCUUGUGGUAGCCUUCUGCAAGCUUCUCACAAUACUUUGCUGGAAUUUUUGCCCAUUCCUCCUGACAGAACUAGUGUGACUCAGGUUUUUAGUUUGUUGGCCUCCAUGCUCGAACACGCCUUUUCAGUUCUGUCCACAAAUUUUCUAUGGGAUUCAGGUCAGGGCUUUGUGAUGGCCACUCCAAUAAUUUCACUUAGUUGUCUUUAAGCCAUAUUGUUCCAACUUUGGAGGUGGUAUUAGGAUCAUUGUCCUGCUGGAAGACCCAGUUGCGAUAAAGUUUUAACUUUCUAGCUCAUGUCUUGAGGUGUUGCUUCAGUAUUUCUAGAUAAUACUCCUUCCUCAUGAUGCCAUCUUUUCUGAAGUGCACCAGUCCCUUUUCCAGCAAAACACCCCCACAACUUGAUGCUUCCACCCCCAUGCUUCACAGUUGGGAUGGUGUUCUUCGGAUUAAAAGCCUCACCCUUUUUCCUCCAUACAUAGUGAUGGCCAAGCAGUUCAAAUUUAGUUUCAUCUGACCUGAGAACAUACCUCCAAAAGGCUAGGUCUUCGUCCUGGUGAUCACCUGCAAACUUCAUUCUGGCUUUUUUAUGCCGAGUAGGGGCUUCUUCCUUGUGUGACAGCCUUUCAUGCCAUGGUGAUGUAGGAUUCUCUUAAUGGUGGAUGUAGAUACUUUGGUACCUGAUGCCUCCAACUCCUUCACCAGUUCCUUUGUUGUUGUCUUGGGGUUCAGUUGAGCCUUUCGGAUCAAAGUUUGUUCAGCCCUGGGAGUUAAUUUGUGCCUCCUUCCUGAACGAUGCAAUGUGUGGUCCCAGGAUUUUUAUAUUUGCAUACAGUUGUUUGUACAUAUGCUCGUGGAUUUAUAAUAAACACAAGGUACUUGUGCCCUAUUGAAAAGGAUCAGCGCUCAAUGAAGAAACCCUAUCCCAUUGCCAAAAGAAAGUCUAACAUGCCUAUGAAUAUUUAUACUAUGGGACUAUACAUUACGAAUGUAUUAUAUGGCCCAUAGCGGCCCCCAAACAGCAUUGCCAACUUAAACAGACCCGUGCUCCGUUGAUGCGAGCUCCAGGUAUUGACAAUGCCGAUGCUACAUACCUUACCACAUGGCCCCUCAUGGCCACCACAACCCAACGUGUAGAUACAUAGGCAGUGCGAGCCAGCAUAUCACCAGGGUUAUCAAGUGGGCACCUACAUUCAUCGGUGUUUCAUCAAGUUAGGCCCACGACACCUCGGGAAGGCUCAACAGUUAGUUCCAGCGUCCCAGAACCACCCCCCUCCAUGCUAGCUCUCAUUGUCCGUGGUACCCACAUGCAGAACUUCCUUGUGUUAUCCUAUCCUUAUGUCGAAAAUAGAACUUCCUGAUAACAAUAUCACACAUGAAGCAGAAACAGAGAAGAAAAGGAAUACUCUUACUCUUUGUUUACUUUGGCCCCCAGCUGACAUUAUUUCUCCUCAACCAAAUCCACUGACUUCCUUUCAGUGCUUCUUCCGACAUGGUGGUACCUUCAAUUGUUUAGAAAUGGAGGUCCACAAUUUUUUUCUGAGGUCUUGGCUGAGUUGCUUGGAUUUUCCCAUGCUAUCAAGGGCAAAAAGGCAGUGGCUGUAAAGGUAGGCCCUUAAAUACAGCAACAUGUGCCAAUUAACUCCCAAUAAACUCCUAAUUAUGACAAUUAGCUAAUCAGAAGCUUUUAAAAAGUUAUUACAUCAAUUUAUGGAAUCUUUCCAGGCUGUUUAAAGAGACAGUCGUAUGUAAAAUUUUGACCCACUGGAAUCAUGAUAUAGUAAAUUAAAGCUGAAAUAAAUCUCUCUAAUUGAUUGUUUUAAAAUGACCUCUGAUGUGAACAAAAUAGAUGCCCUAAUUGACUUGCCAAAAGAAAUGUAUGGUAACAUGAAAUGUGUGGAUUUGUGAAAAACUUGAGUUUGAAUAUCUUUAGCCUCGGUGUGUAAAAUUUUGGCCUCAACUGUAUCUGCUCAAAAGUUAAUAGCAGUUAUUAAAUAUUUGUAUCAAAUGACCUAUUUCAAUAUAUUUCAAAAUAUUAAUAAAUUGCUAAUAAUUACUGUAUUUUAAGUAAGUGCAUUUGAGUCCUUUGUUUUGUCAACCAGUCAUUUUGACCGAUAAUCAAGUGCUGGUGAAAAUGACUGGUUGACUGGCUGCUGCCUAACACUAUACUAUGUGGUGUAUUGCCUUUCUUUUUUCCCCUUUUUCUCUUUAAUCAUACUUUUGCAGUAGCAAACAUCCAAACUUCAGAAGACAUCUCAUGAUCUUGUGGGAGCUGUCUGACCUUGCUGCUGAUUGGCUAUCUUAUCAACACCCAAUAGAUAACAGUGGUGACGUUUUAUCCCCGGAAUCAUUUCAUGCGGUGUCAAGCAUAAAACAAAAAACAAGCACGAAACCAUCCAGACCCACAGCGCAACUUGGCGAACUAUAUUUUUUGGUUGAUUUUACGCGCUCAUAUAUGGCAGUUGAUUCUGUCAGAAUUCUGACUGAUAAGCCAGGUCAAUAUUUUCACUGGAGACUUCCAGUGAAAAUAUACAUUCCGCCUUAUAAAGUCCCAGGUCAUUUGUGAAUGGUUUAAAUUGAUUUUGAGAAUAGACACCUCAUGGUACAAUCAUGAUAACGGCAAUGACUGUGCUGUGAAGUUUAGGUAGCAAACAACAAGGCUGAAACAUUUUGACAUAAUUUGCAUAGAAACUAUAUGCUCAGAUCACCUAGUUUCACUCACUGUGGCCAAGCAGAAUCAAUAAUGUUAUAGAAAGAAAAUAUAUAAUGUGUAUUAUUAUUUCUGAUAUAACCUAUAUAAUGUUAUAUCAGAAAAUAUAUAACUUUAAAAGAUUUAAUUCAAUCUUCUACUGAGACUUUUGCCGUUUAUUGAGGGUGUGACAAAAUUUUGGUGCCGCUGAUUAUAAUCGAAUGUUUUUCACAUUUACCGUUCAAUUGAGCAAGUGCUAUUGACAGUACAUUUUUAUGGGUUAGUGCUGUCAGAUUGUGCUAGCUACUUUACAUUAACCUUGUACGGCGAUCAAUAAAGGCUAACCGCACAGUAACACUUACUACUUGUCGCUUCUACCACCACUGUAAUGAACUAAAAAAAGGCUACAGACUUACCUUUUCUAUGAGAAAUGUGUUGUCGAGCUCACGCGCAUACACUGCUUGCGACAUUGUAAAGCUUCAUUUUGCCCUCCGUACUAUAUAGCUAGCUAGCUAUGGCGUGUCCUCACGUCUGUAAUGUUAUUUGUUGUCCUCCGUGUGUCCAUACAUCUGUGUUGGUGGUUGUAGCUGUGUGUCCUUAGCUCCUACUCAUGCGUGCUAACUAGGUUAACUAAAGUAGGCGAUCCAUAUGCGCUAACUAGGUUAGCUAAAGUAGGCGAAACGCGAACAUGUUAGUGUUAGCCAAAGUAACAUUUGGCGAUAAAGCUGUGCUUAAAAAUGUCGUGCCAUACCACCAGCGUAUGCGUCCUACUAAACGAAGCACUCCCUGCGCAUGCGUUCCACAAAACGUCCCUGAAAGGUUGUCCGUGAGUGACCACAAUUUGCCAUGCAUAGCCCACGGCGCCAGUUCCUGCGCACCGUGGGAAAAAGACAAAAAGAAAGACAAAACACCACAUGGUGGUGAUGAUUGUUUUUGCAUUUGAUAAUUGUUAUUGCGGUAUUUCAUCCAGCCCUAUCUUUAAUUUCUAUUUACUGUAAUAGGAGGCCAUUCGGUGUUUCCCACAGGCUGAGAAUUUAUUUGUGGCGGUCAACUCUGUUUAUCUCUCUACUAAUAAGCCAAGUUUUAUAGGUCUCUGCCAUGUGGUUAGGCCAAAACUGGGAACAGAGGAAAAUGAAUAAUAGCAUUGUCAAAAUGGCGACAAUCCAAAAUAGCGGCAAUCCAAGUUGUUGAUGACAGAUGAUGUACAGAUAUAUGCUCCAGCAGUGUUUCUCACAGGUUGAGAAUUUAUUUGUGGUAGUCAUCUCCGUGUCCAUGUUUGGGGCAGAAGGGGCAUUGUUUGUACUGUUUAGUAAAUUGUACUGUAACUAUUAAAAUGUUACUUAAAUUUUUCUUCGCAGACAGAGUUCACAUUUUGUGUUCGGCCACUUGAUUUAUAUUUUGUGUUAGGGCAAUUUUAUUUUUUUUGUUUUUAUUUUUGGCUGUCUUCAGAAAAUGAAGCCUGUAUGGCAGUUUUAUCCAAACUAAAACUAUUUUUGCAGUAAUGGUCUCAGUUACAAACCUUUAUGCAGUCUGGAUGAUUUGGAGAUUAAUAUAAUCACAUGCAAGUUCUAAACAUAAGUUAAGAGCUUUAAACUCAUUGGUGCCUGAUAUCCAAAAUGCCCUAAUUUCUAAACACAAGUAUUUUCAUCAAUUUCAAUUAAAGUAAGCCCUAACUGUUAACCGUAACGGUUAUCAUGACAGUAAUGUUAUGGCAACCUAUCUGUGGUGCAGUUCCUCCCUCCUCCUCUAGCCUUUUUUUUUAAAGGAGGAUUAUUCUAUACUCAUCUCUGUCAAAAGUGAGAAGUAAACAUUUUCAUUAGCUGUCUAAGCUAAUUAUUAGCGGUGUGAAAGUUGAUUCUUGCUAAAUGCCAGGGCUCCAGACUAACUUUUUACAUUGGUUGCACUGGUGCGCCUAACUUUUUCAUUUGGGUGCACCAGCACAUAAUUUAGGUGCACCCAAACUUUUUCACCGUGCCUUUUGGCGCUGCAAUAAUACAUUUUAAGCGUUACCUUUUUUGUCAGUUCCCAUACACAUUGGUAAUUUCUUAACACAUUGUGUAAAUGAUUGUAAACAGGAAUAAAGGUGCAGAUAAAUGUUUUUUCUUUAUUUAAACCACAGCACAAACAAUAAAUUGCAAUAACCUCAAUUGUUUAAAAAAUAAACUUAAAGUGCUGAUGUUUAAAGUGCUUGACGAGCUCAAAUAACUCAAACAAAAGUGUGCGUUGCUCCCGGAGGAGUACAGGGCGCGGUUUCACACAUACACUCUAGUGAUGCACGGAUCGGCUCUGACGUCAUCCGAAUCACAUCAUCCACCCGCCACCCAACCGAACUAAUUAUUUUCUCCAAUUUAGACCCCUACAACGGAGUAUUAGGGCCACAUUGAGGGAGAAAAAUCAGAGAUUUUGAGAAUAAGGUCGUAAUAUCACGAGAAUAAAGUCAUAAUUUAAUGAGAAUAAUAUAAAGUCAUAAUAUUUCAAGAAAAAAAGUCAUUACGAGAAUAGUCGUAAUGUUACGAGAAAAAAUCAUUUCGUGAAUAAAAUCGUUAAAUUUCGAGGAAAAAAACAAUUUUUAGGAAAAUAAAUUACCAGCAACCAACAGAACGGGCGAGACAGUCUAAUGGCAGCCUGAGCCUGCAAUUUCCUCCAAGUCCAUGUGGUUCUUUUUUCGGAAUAGAAAAGUUUCUUGCACAAUCUUUUCAAAGUCCUGUUACUUAUGAUAAUGUGGUGCUGAUGUGCUAAAAGAUUAAGUAUCUCGUUAUUUGUGAAACCUAUACUAAAGUAUAACUUCACAAGAUGCUCCACGUUCCUCAUUUUAACGCAGGCGGCAGGCUGCUCUUCUGAUAUUUCCCCACGUAGCCUAAAAUGACAACUUUAUUCUCGUAAUAUUACAACGUUAUUCUCGUAAUAUUACAACGUUAUUCUCGUAAUAUUACGACCUUAUUCUCAAAAUGUGGCCCUAAUACCCGGUCACACUUUACCGUUAUUUCUCAUUAUUUCGCAGCUGUUGCAUAUGACAUACCCAGCACUUGACUCGUCAUGGUUAUUUUACUAAAUCGCUCCCACACAGAACUUUUCUGCCCUUCCUUUUUUUUUUUAAAUUCUCCUUUUUUAAUUUUCUCUUGGAUCUUUUUUGCCUCCAUUGCUGCUUAAUUGGCGCAAUGAGAGUCUAGUCUGCUAAUUCGUGCCUGAGGAAAAAUGGAGCUUAAAAUAUGUUCACAUUUUAGAGAGUGUAAUUAAUAUUUUCCUCAUUAAAGUUACAAUCUCGAAGAUUUCAGUUUCGUUCUCUUUGGCGGUACCAAUGGCGAGAAGCGGUAAUUGCAGGUGUGUUUUUGGACCUCACUUCCCAUAGAUCCAACCGGAUCCAACCAGUGUCGCCUGUGUGACGUCAAUGAGUUGGCACCUGGGCCACGCCGACUAUUACACUUACUAUUUACUGAAAAAUGGUUGUUAUAAAAGUAACGUUAUGUACAUACUCAUUCAUUGUCUAACAUUAGGCUAACUUAAGCUGUCUUUACACUGCCGAGCCGGGUUAAAAUGCUGUAGCAGACCUGGGGUAGAAUUAGUGAUGAUCAAUUUCCACAAACGUUCUUUAUCCACCUUUUGCUCGGUAUGAACAUCUUUACACUGCAGAGAAGAAUUCGCAGGAUUCGCUGUGGCUCGUGCAAUUACGUAUCUCGUGCAUCAUCGUGAAUGAUUGUUGUGUGAUAUUUUUGAAACAACUGCCUUGUUUCUGGUUUUGCUAGCUAAACUGUUUGAGAAUAAAGCUGAGCUGGGUCGUAAUAAAAUAAUAACAACGCUAAUCCAUACUGCCGUAUUCUUUUAUUUAGUUUUCUCCGGCUUGACAUCUUUACACAGAAAUCAGACCCAGCUCUGCUCCACCUAUACCCCGGCUUAUAUAUUGAUGAACUUGAUGGCAAUGUAAAUAACGGUAACGUUAAGGCCAGUUAAGAUCAAUGAUUCGCAACGAGACAAAACGGUUUUAGAAUGUUGCAGAGAAAAUUGCAGCGGUGUGAACUGGUUAGUUGCAGAGCCUCUGAAGCCGUUGCCUAGGGUCUCAAAAGACCCACCUUGUCAAAUCGCCAAGUGCAGUUUUAGAACGUUUACAAUCAGACGUCUUGGAAUUUUGCAGGUUGCAUCUAGUCUCGUUGCGAAUCAUUGAUCUGAACUGGCCUUUAGUUAGCUACACUGCAACGUUGCAACAAGGUAGCAUUGCAUUCGAGAGACGGUUUGCGAGGUCGGUACCAUUUUUUCUAAUUGUUAGCUGACAUUAGAUUGUGUUAAUUACAUUAGCUAGCUAGCUAACGCAACGUUACCUGAUAUGAGAGAUGGAUACUGUGCGCAACGUUGUCUAAACUAAUGUUGCCUUUAUUGACAUGGUCCGGUAGCUUGCGUUAGCUGUGCAAAUAGCUAUGUAAUUUAGUCACGUUACAUUGUCAUCAAAUGUAAUACGAAAACUACAUCAACAAAUAAUAUGACCUCAUGUUACACAAAAACUUAUUAGGGUUCCAUAACCCCCCCCCCACCUUCAACGGUAGCAGACACCGGAAAAAACAGUACGCCGCUCACACACAAAUGAGUUGAAGGGCAAGCCUGUUGCGUUAGCUCCGCCUACCCUCUCUGGCGAACCAACCACUGAUGGGUGAUGGAAAAUGCGUCACUAUCUAUGCACCGCUUGUGAUUUUUUUCCUGGGAAUGUCGCCACAGACACCCAGUUCUUUAAUCAUAAAUUAUAAUAAUAAUAACAUAAAUGAAUAUAAUAAUAGGCUCAAUCACCACCACGGAUUUAACUGCGAUCCGCGCAUCACUAAUACACACAUUCCUUCUUUUUUUUUUCCCCCACCCGCAUUCAGCAAAGAAGAAUAUCUCGGUCAGAGCCAAUCAGAGGCAGAGUAGGGGCGGGUCUUCACAGAAUGCGGGUGGGAAAAAAAUAACACUACACACACAAACACACAGAGACAGACCUGCUAAAUGUCAGGCGCACCGGUGCAACCAAUGAAAAUGUUUAGUCGCACUUGACAGAUUUUUGAUCGCAUGUGCGACCAAAAUGGUCGCACUCUGGAGCCUUGAAUGCUUGUUGGCAUUAAUUCAGAUGUUUAUAACUUUGCAGUCUUUCUGUCAAUUUUACAUAUUUUAACUUUUAAAUAUUUAGUUACCUGGCACAGAUAUGGUUGCACGGCUGUCUUUGUAAUUAUGUUAGCCAUCUCUCCUGUGCUGUACAUACCGCGACUACGAGAGGGAGGGGGUUCGGGCAAGCCCACAUAAGGAAAUGGUUGUGUAUGUCACCAUGCCAUAUGAAUCGGUUGUAUGUCAUUUUGGCAUUUAAAAGAAAAAAAAAACAAAUACAAAAGUAUAGUGUGUUGCUUGUACAAUUAAGCAACUAAAUACCAGAAAAUCUUCUUAGGCCGUAGGAAAUCUAUUUGUAUGGGAAACACUGGGUCAUUGGCUCUAAACUGUCUUCCUGGCUCAGUUGUGAGCAGGUGUCCACCUGAACUUACACCCGGAACAGGCUGGUUCAGUCUUGCCAAACCAGCCUGGAUUUGUUCUUGCUCAUACCAGCCUGGAUUUGGUUUAGACCUCACCUUUCCCCCCCAGCUGAGAUGUACUGAAUUCCAGAAGGUAUAGCACAGUGUUUCACAAACCUGCCACCCACCCCCCACCUCCCCCAACCAUACCCCUUCCCCUCAACCC